rnacentral:tRNA from 1 species
GCCGCACUAGCUCAGUCGGUAGAGCACAUCAUUCGUAAUGAUGGGGUCGGGGGUUCGAAUCCCUCGUGCGGCA